GAAAUAAUUACUUGAAAAUUAGAAUUGGACAAAUAGGAGCUAAUGGCUUUAGGAGAAAUCUAGAUAUAAUAAAUCCAAACGAAUGAAAAACAACAAAAAGUUGAAAUAUCUCAUUGAAAAAACAUCUAAUCUGGAAAAUAGAUCUGGAGGAAAUAAUUUUAAAAUUAUUGGCCUACUUGAAAGCUAUGAUCAAAAAAGAAUCUGGACAUCAUUUUUCAAGAAAUUAUCAAGGAAAGCUGUCCUAAUUUUCUAGAACCAGAGAAUAAAAGAGAUUGAAAGAAUCCAUCAUCAUCUCCUGAAAGAUCCCAAAAUAAAAGUUCCCAGAAAUAUUAUUGCCAAAUUUUAAAACUUCCAGGUCGAGGAGAAAAUAUUGCAAGUAUUCGGAGGGAAAAACAGUUUAAAUAUAGUAAAGCCACAGUCAGGAUAACACAAGGAUUUAGCAACUUCUACAUUAAAGGAUUGAAGGGCAUGGAAUAUGGUAUUUUGGAGAGCAGUGGAGAUAGGAUGACAACCAAGAAUCACCUACCCACCAAAACUGGGCGGGGUUGGGAAGUGAACAUUCAGUGAAAUUGAGGAUUUUCAAGCAUUUGUGAUGAGAAGACUAGAAUUGAAUAGAAAGUUUGAUUUUCAACUAUAGGACUCGGGAGAAAUAUAUGAAGGUAUAUGAAAGAGAAAUUAUAAGGGAGUUGUUUACAUUCCUACAUGGGAAGAUGAUACUUGUAACUCAUAAGACUUUUUCAUUAUUAUGGCAAUUGGGAGUAUAUAUAGACAGGGCACAGAUGUGAGAUAAGAAAGGGAUGAUAUCUUAAAAAUAAAAUCAAGAAGUGAGAGAAGAAUGUGCUAAGGGAAGGGUGGAGUGGUGUAAAUUAUGUCAUAAAAGAGGCAAGAAAAAGCUUUUCUGAUGGAGGGAAAGUGGGGAAGGAGAGUGUGUGAACCUUACUCUUAUCAGAAUUGGUUCAAAGAGGAAUUAACAUUCCCAUUCAAUAUGAGUAUAAAAAUCUGUCUUACCCUGCAAGAAAGUAGGGGGUAAGGUGAUAGAAGAAAAGACAUAUUGGAAGAGUGAGUCAGAAGUAAAAGACUUGAAGAGGGACAAGGUGUAAAAAGAAAAAAUAGAAAAAGUGAGGGAUAUAGCAAAAGUAAUUAAAAAAAAAAAAAGACUUAAAGCAAGUUUCUCUUGAAGGCCUCAUUUCUCAAAUGUAAUUUGUAAAAAAUAAAUAAAAGCCAUUCCCCAAUUGAUAAAUGAUCAGAAGCUAUCAUCUAUGUCCAAGGUGUUAUAAAAUCAUACAUAUCCUUUGUCCUAACCAAUACCACUAUUAGGCAUAAAUACAAAAGAGAUUUUUAUAUAGAGGGAAAAGAACUUAUAUGUAUAAAAAUAUUUUUUCUCAGAGUGAAGAAUUGAGGGGAUUUCUGUCAAUUGGGGAAUGGCUGAAUAAAUUGUGGUAUAGGAUUAGGAAGGAAUAUUGUUGUUCUAUAAGAAAUGAGAAGCAGGAUGUUAUCAGAAAAACCUGGUAAGUCUUCCAAGAACUCAAAUAAAGUGAAAUGUAUUGUGUACAUAGUAACAGCAAAGUUGUGGGCUUGAUCAGCUGUGAAUGAUUUUGCUAUUCUCAGCAAUAAAAUAAUCUAAGACUACUCUGAAAGACCUUUGAUGAAAAAUGCUAUCCAUAACCAGAGAAAAAACUGAUUGUGUCUGAAUACAUCUAUGUUUUCUUUUGCAACAUGACUUUUGUGGAAAUGUUUUGCACAACUUCAUAUGGGCCUUCUCAAUAUGGGGAGGAGUAUGGAAAGGAAAGAAAAUCUGGAACUCAAUAUUUUAAAAGCAAAUGUAAAAAAAAAAAAUUAUUUUACAUGUAACUGGGGGAAAUAAAAAAUACUUAAAAAUAAAAAAAAAAUCUUUGCAG
rnacentral:lncRNA from 1 species